UUACGUCUUCAGGGCGGGGUGAAAGUCCCCACCGGCGGUAUGCCGAACGCGUUCACCGACGCGGCCGGCGAGCCCGCGAGCGCCCGCGUCGUUCCAUGUCUUCGUUGUAUCCGACAUGGUUGCGCGCGGGGUCAGCAGACCUGGUGAGAGGCCAGGGCCGACGGUCAUAGUCCGGAUGAAAGAAGAUGGGC
rnacentral:ncRNA from 2 species